UCAUGAAGGUAGUUUUCUCUUGUUUGGUCCUGAUCUAUAUUUCAUAUUUCUUUUAAAUGUGUAUAUUUUCGCUCAGAAUUCCGUCAGACAGCUAUCAAAGCGCUACAAGUUGAGAAUGUGCAAGCUUUAAAGUGAAACGGCCGGAUUGUCUCACACACUGACGGAAGCGCUACUUGUCGGGAAAACCUUCAAGCCACAAAGUGAUUGCUGCAUCUCUAGCGAGUGAAACUGCAUUCACUGAUUUCGGAAGACUUUCAAGUUUCUAAUAUACUUCAGAACCUGACCAACAAGUUCAACUGUCUUUACAGAUUUUUGGGAUAAAGGUGUCUUAUAACUUAUAGCAGGUGCGUAGAGGGACACUAAAGUAUCCUAAGUUGGCUUUCGUGCAGGAAAAUGACACAGUGAAGGACCUUAAUGUAAGCUUCACUACAGUGUAUCUGGAUAAACAUGGCUGCUGCUGCACCUUCACCCCUGGCCAGCUCCGUAGAGAAGACAAAUGGAGCCAAGCUGAGCAGACUUCUUAUUGAUGGUGGAACAACGGUUCUAA